AUGAGCUUGAGAAGCCAUGUCCUCAUCCCCCUGCUUCUCUGGGUGUCUGUGGGGGACAUCAUAAUGACACAGUCUCCAUACUCUCUGGCUGUGUCAGUAGGAGAAAGGGCCACUAUGAACUGCAAGUCCAGUCAGAAUGUGAACAACCACAUAGUCUGGUACCAGCAGAAUGUAGGGCAGGCUCCUGAACAGCUCAUUUAUGGUGCAUCCAUUUGGCCAUCUGGUAUCCCUGAGCGAUUCAUUGGCAGUGGGUCUGGGGCAGACUACACUCUCACUGUCAGCAACAUGGAGACUGAUGAUGUGCCAGAUUAUUACUGUCAACAGUAG